GGUCACUGCUAUCGGUGUUCGUCUAAGCCAUGCGAGUCAUAUGUUCUUUGGAACAUGGCGUACUGCUCAGUAACACGUGGAUAACCUGCCCUUGGGUCCGGCAUAACCCCGGGAAACCGGGGAUAAUACCGGAUAACGCAUAUAUGCUGGAAUUCUUUAUGCGUGAAACGGAUUCGUCUGCCCAAGGAUGGGUCUGCGGCCUAUCAGGUAGUAGUGGGUGUAACGUACCUACUAGCCGACGACGGGUACGGGUUGUGAGAGCAAGAGCCCGGAGAUGGAUUCUGAGACAUGAAUCCAGGCCCUACGGGGCGCAGCAGGCGCGAAAACUUUACAAUGCGGGAAACCGUGAUAAGGGGACACCGAGUGCCAGCAUCAUAUGCUGGCUGUCCGGGUGUGUAAAAUACACCUGUUAGCAAGGGCCGGGCAAGACCGGUGCCAGCCGCCGCGGUAACACCGGCGGCCCGAGUGGUGAUCGUGAUUAUUGGGUCUAAAGGGUCCGUAGCCGGUUUGGUCAGUCCUCCGGGAAAUCUGACGGCUUAACCGUUAGGCUUUCGGGGGAUACUGCCAGACUUGGAACCGGGAGAGGUAAGAGGUACUACAGGGGUAGGAGUGAAAUCUUGUAAUCCCUGUGGGACCACCUGUGGCGAAGGCGUCUUACCAGAACGGGUUCGACGGUGAGGGACGAAAGCUGGGGGCACGAACCGGAUUAGAUACCCGGGUAGUCCCAGCCGUAAACGAUGCUCGCUAGGUGUCUGGCAUGGCGCGACCGUGUCUGGUGCCGCAGGGAAGCCGUGAAGCGAGCCACCUGGGAAGUACGGCCGCAAGGCUGAAACUUAA
rnacentral:rRNA from 1 species